GUACAUGAUUCAACGUCAGUAUCAUCCACUGGAGGAGCUAAUACAUUUAGAUCUGAUAUUGCUCUUAGAGUAAUGACAGAAUGUACUGGAAUGAUAAAGGAAAGACUCGAUCUGAAUACAUUAGUAGAUAAGCUACUUGAGAAGAGGAUGAUAAAUGAACGAGAGAAAACCAAAGUUCUUGAUGAAAGACGUGGAAUAACUACUAACCAAAGAAUGGAUGAGCUGCUUAGUUUAGUUAAAGCAUCCAUUAGAGAGGAUGGAGAAGAUUUUGGUUUGUUUCUAGAAAUAAUUAAA